GAUGAACGCUGGCGGCGUGCCUAAUACAUGCCAGUCGAGCGAACGGACGAGAAGCUUGCUUUUCUGAUGUUAGCGGCGGACGGGUGAGUAACACGUGGAUAACCUACCUAUAAGACUGGGAUAACUUCGGGAAACCGGAGCUAAUACCGGAUAAUAUUUUGAACCGCAUGGUUCAAAAGUGAAAGACGGUCUUGCUGUCACUUAUAGAUGGAUCCGCGCUGCAUUAGCUAGUUGGUAAGGUAACGGCUUAUCAAGGCAACGAUGCAUAGCCGACCUGAGAGGGUGAUCGGCCACACUGGAACUGAGACACGGUCCAGACUCCUACGGGAGGCAGCAGUAGGGAAUCUUCCGCAAUGGGCGAAAGCCUGACGGAGCAACGCCGCGUGAGUGAUGAAGGUCUUCGGAUCGUAAAACUCUGUUAUUAGGGAAGAACAUAUGUGUAAGUAACUGUGCACAUCUUGACGGUACCUAAUCAGAAAGCCACGGCUAACUACGUG
rnacentral:rRNA from 1 species